CCUACGGGUGGCAGCAGUGAGGAAUAUUGGUCAAUGGGCGCAAGCCUGAACCAGCCAAGCAGCGUGCAGGAUGACGGCCCUACGGGUUGUAAACUGCUUUUAUACGGGAAUAACGCCCCUUACGUGUAUCGCUUUGCAUGUAUCGUACGAAUAAGGACCGGCUAACUCCGUGCCAGCAGCCGCGGUAAUACGGAAGGUCCGGGCGUUAUCCGGAUUUAUUGGGUUUAAAGGGAGCGUAGGCCGUAUGGUAAGCGUGAGGUGAAAUGCCCGGGCUCAACCCGGGGCGUGCAGCGCAUAGUGGCGGGCUUGAGAGCGGUGAAGGCAGGCGGAAGUCGUCGUGUAGCGGGGAAAUGCUUAGAUAUGACGAAGAACCCCGAUUGCGAAGGCAGCUUGC
rnacentral:rRNA from 1 species